UGUUUUAACUCACGAGGUUUUUUGUGUUUUAUUUCCAAUUUAUAUUUUUUGGUGUGAGACAACACCGCCAUGUGGCGUCUCUGUUGAAAAGUUAACCUAAAAUCAUAUUAGGCCUACUCAGGUCCUAACAAUAACAAUAUAGGCACUUUCAAGUAUUUUUAUGGGUGUGAUACACGUUUGUUUAUAACGAUGUUUAUAAACUUUAUGAUAGGUUUAACUAUAACAUAAGGGAGUGAUUUUAUAAUUUGCAUUUAAUUAGUUUUUCAUCUGUUUGGGAGAUCACAAAAUAAAUAAAAAAACACUUCAUUAAUUUCGUGGACAAAGUCUGUCAUGUUUCCAUUUAGUGACCACAAAGCAAAUAUUUGUGACAAAAUGCCAUAUUUGGAACACUGCCUAACUGCGUAUUGUGAACGGGUCCCCGGAAAAGUGUUAUGACAAAUGUUUUUUUUUUUUUUGGUUAGGUACUACAAGAAAGACAUUGAAGAAGUUUCAACACCAGGAAAAAAGAGGAAAAAAAGGCCACAGGAAGGAAAGUCACUUGACACAGUCGACGAUUUCACAGUAAAUGCAAUCAGGAAUGCAAUUUACAGGAUGUACGCUGAAGGUUUGAAUGUUACAGUCGACACCAUUUUGAAAGAAAUCAGGGAAAGACAAAUAGAUUAUUAUGGUGGAAGAUCAAGUCUUCAUAAAUUGUUAAAGAAGAUGGGAUUUUCAUGGACAACUGUUGAUGGACGAAAAGCUUUGAUAGAGAAUGAAAACAUAGUAUUGAAGCGAAUAGAUUUCUUGAGAAAGUAUAAAGAAGAAAAAGAAAGAGGUGCCAAUUUCAUAUUUGUUGAUGAAACAUGGAUUUUCCAGAGAGGCAAGGCAUUAAUUUAUUUGAAAAUUUGUUCUGUGGUCCAAUACAAAGUAUUUCAUUUCCAUUUCAUAUAUUUUUCAGGAACUGUAUCAAAGUCAUGGCAGGACAAGAGUCUACAAUCUGCGAAGAGACGUACUGUUGGAGAUGGUAAAAGGUUUAUUGUUGUUAAUGCUGGAGGGCGCACUGGCUUUGUGCCAGGAGCAGGAUUACUUUUUGUUUCAGGUCAGAAGACUGCAGACUACCAUGGCGAGAUGAAUGGGGAAACUUUCUUGAUGUGGUUUGAAGACAUGUUGGUGCAUCUGGAGGAACCCAGUGUCAUUAUAAUGGACAAUGCUUCAUAUCACAGCACCCAGAUGGGCGAGGUGUGUGGAUCACGUGGAGAAGCUAAUUCAAGCAGACUGGGAGAGAGAAGUCCACAUAGACAGCGGCACCAUUCCUCCACUCAUCAUCCACCUCGGCGAGGAUAGUUCAAGUGAAGACAGUGACAGCGAAGAAUUUGAGGUUACGACACAGCAAGUAGAUGGAGACAGUGAAGUACUGGCAGUUCCUCUUGAUGAUUUACCCGGGUGUUCUUAUUGAGGUCUGUAUGUAAUAAACACCUGGGCAACUGUAAGUAUUGGGGUUUGAAACAUUUUUUUUUCUUUUAUGCAUUCCCAUUAAGUAUGUUGAUUACUGGAACUUUAUGUAUUAACUUUAUAUUACACAUAUUAUAAAAUUAAUAAUAAAUUUCAUUUCUGGAUUCGUAUAGGUGUAUGUGAAACAUUUUAUUUUGUUGUGUCUCUUCAUUUUUCAGUGAACUUACUUGGAAAACAAAAAGCCAGUCCCCAUCCAGGGCCACAAAUAAAUAAUGCAUAUAAGUGGUAUAGAAAUUACUGUCAAUUCUUUACCACAAUUUUACUGUUCAUAAAAUUAUGAUUUUGUCUAAUAAGUAUACUCAGGAAAAUGUAUAUAACCAUAUUUUUAUUUGUGGCCUUAACCGGCAAAAUGGUAGGGGUUUAUUAAAUAAAAGAAGAAAAUUCAUUUUUAAAUGUUUUCAUCUGAAUUUGUUAAUUUUAUUAAACCUUCAAUCCUUAGUCUUUUCCAGAUUGCUUAGAUGGACAGCCAUAUGUAUAAUUUACAAUACUUUUUUUUCAGAUGCAGAAAACUGUGUUGAACUGUACUA